AUUGAACGCUGGCGGCCGGCCUAACACAUGCAAGUCGAGCGAGCGGCGGACGGGUGCGUAAUGUAUGGGGACUGCCCGAUAGAGGGGGAUAACUACUGGAAAAGGUGGCUAAUACCGCAUACUAUCGGAUAACCCAUAUGGGAUUAGCUAGUAGGUGGGGUAAAGGCUCACCUGGGCUACGAUCCCUAGCUGGUCUGAGAGGAUGAUCAGCCACACUGGGACUGAGACCAGGCCCAGACUCCUACGGAGGCAGCAGUGGGGAAUAGUGCACAAUGGGCGCAAGCCUGAUGCAGCCAUGCCGCGUGUAUGAAGAAGGCCUUAGGGUUGUAAAGUACUGUCAGCGGGGAGGCGUUACCCGCAGAAGAAGCACCGGCUAACUCCGUGCCAGCAGCCGCGGUAAUAC
rnacentral:rRNA from 1 species